rnacentral:rRNA from 1 species
UGGGGAAUAUUGCACAAUGGGCGCAAGCCUGAUGCAGCCAUGCCGCGUGUGUGAAGAAGGCCUUCGGGUUGUAAAGCACUUUCAGCGAGGAGGAAGGUGGUGAACUUAAUACGUUCAUCAAUUGACGUUACUCGCAGAAGAAGCACCGGCUAACUCCGUGCCAGCAGCCGCGGUAAUACGGAGGGUGCAAGCGUUAAUCGGAAUUACUGGGCGUAAAGCGCACGCAGGCGGUUUGUUAAGUCAGAUGUGAAAUCCCCGGGCUCAACCUGGGAACUGCAUUUGAAACUGGCAAGCUAGAGUCUCGUAGAGGGGGGCUAGAAUUCCAGGUGUAGCGGUGAAAUGCGUAGAGAUCUGGAGGAAUACCGGUGGCGAAGGCGGCCCCCCUGGACGAAGACUGACGCUCAGGUGCGAAAAGGCGUGGGGGCAGCAAAACAGGAUUAGAUACCCCUGGUAGUCCACGCUGUAAAACGAUGUCGAUUUUGGAGGUUGUGCCCCUUGAGGCGUGGNUUCCGGAGCUAACGCGUUAAAUCGACCGCCUGGGGAGUANGGCCNCAAGGUUAAAACUAAAUGAAUUGCGGGUCUAGCUGUUCC